GGAGCUUUCUCCCAUGGCACACUGUCAGAGGUGCCAGGACAUUUGUUUUCCAUACUUUAGGUCAUACCCCAGUAUUUCUUAAGCCUCAAGGUAGGCUUGCUGUGAGCUGAAGGUCCUGAAGCGACCAAGAGGGAAUGUUUCCAGUACUGCAUGGUAGCACCUUUGGCACAGGCUAUGAGCUCCCCCGGAGUCUUCUCUUGGCUUAGAACAAUGGCAAGUCCUGCAAAUAGAUUGAAGCCAAAUCUUUUACAGUCGCUGUUACUGAAAGUUUGUGUGUCAGGUUUGGCUCCUCAGAGCAGGCACUCUGCUGUCACAGGAUUAAGUCCAGAGCAGAGCAGUAAUUCAUGGUGUUGGCUUUCCUGGGACAAAGGCCCUCAGUUAAGCGUGACUGCAGCAAUCAGCUCUUCUACCCUUUAAUUGCCAGAGCUCAGAUGUAGGGUGUGAGAGGAUGAGGGCUGAGGGGAGCUCCUUGCCUGGGGUACUCUUCCCCAGCAUCCUCGUCCUUUCUGCUGCCCACUGUAUUUUCAAGAUUGUCAUGGCUCUUUUAUGUAAUUUUAACACACAGAAAUGACUUGCUCAUAGCAAUCAGUUGUACCAGGGAAGGAUACGGAGGCGACACAUUGAGUAGCUGAGUGGAAAUCAGAUUGAAGAGACGGCUCCAGCCCACACCUCUCCGUGGCUCCUGGGGAUGUUUAUCCCUGUUUUAGCUGCUAUUUUCCCUACGUGCUCCUUGGUGUUGGUCGCAGGGCCGUAACUCUGUGGCAUAGCUCUUCAUCAUUCAUUGCAGACCUUCCAAUUCCUGCAGUAAAGAGCUCUGCAGGCAGCAGCUCACUUUCCUGUCCAGCCUGCAGCAUGGCCACCCUCAGUAUCACCUGAAUUAAUGCUUAACGAGAGGCACUUAAUGGCCCCAGACCUGCUGAGCAUCCUCCCUUUCAGCAGUGUCCUCGGGUCCAGCAGCUGGGGUGCCUGAUGCCUCCUGUCCCUCCAGGUCUCCCCAAAGACUCCAAGGCUUCACUUGCACUGAAGGUCCGAAGCUGACCUUCCAAUUGCACUGGAUGGGGUAAUAUUCCUCCUUGCCUUGGAUCUUCCAGAUACCUCCUAAGUGCCCCAGAGAGAGGCAGAGAGGGAUUAGAGACCCCAUGGCUUUUCUAGGAUCUCUGUUCAUCUCAGUGAAGACCUGGCUCUGCACCUGCACUUUCCUGGUUCUCAUCAUUGAGCUGUACAGCUCCUCUCACACCGUGCAGCUGAUGGCAUUGUGAUCAAGAGGUGGCUUCUGCUGUGUCUCUGGAAGAUUUACAUGUAGUUUUCAGCUAUCACAGAGGAAACAGAUUUUUUCCUGUCACUGAAGUAGAAUUAAUAUUGGACACUGCACUUACCCCUGAGAUAUUUUAAUGCUUUGAAGUUCAAGAUCAUUAACAUUCUCAGCAACAAUUAUAUAUCCUUUGAAAAGGAGACCCUGUUCAAACCUUUGGACCUUUAUAAUGCCUGUUCCUGUAAAGCUAUCUGAGAAGUGAUCUCUUUGAUAUAUAUGGGAUUGAGAUCAUUACCUGCCCAACUCUUCUGUCGGGCCCGUUUGCCUUUGGCUCUGAAGGGUUUGCCCAAGAUCCUGACAGUGGUGGCCACACAUUUCAGGCAUCAGCAGCUGAAGGAGCAGCUCCCCAGAGCAGCAUGUGGUGAUCUGCAGGUCGCUCAGUGACCUUCUGGCUUGUGAGAGCUCAUGUGAGAGAUGCAAAACUCUGCCCCGACUCCAGUUCAGGUCUUGGGGUUCAUAGAGGCUGCUCUGGACUCUGUAGGGAUCAGUUGCCUUGCAUUUAAUUGCAGAUGUUCAUUGUGCUCUGUAUAGGGUGUCUAAUAGACAUCUGACCUUGGGGUUCUUUGGAGAGGUCGAGGGAUGUUGUGCUGGUGAGCAGGAACAGCCACUGCUCUGGUUUUAUAUUGCAAAGUGCCCAAAGGGAAAUUGCUCUAGUCUCAACCAGGGCCAAGUAAGGUGCACAUUAGGUAUUUGCUUGGCACAUAGCAAAAUUAGAAUGGUAAGCAACAGAGUAGAAUAAAAUAGGGUAGAAAAUAAAAUAUUUUGAGUUG
ensembl:lncRNA